rnacentral:rRNA from 2 species
UAAAAUGUAAAUUUUAAUUACUAAAUUAUUAAGAGUUAUAGUCUUUAAAGUUAAAAAAUUUGGCGGUAUUUUAGUCUUUUCAGAGGAACCUGUCCUAUAAUUGAUAUUCCACGAUUAGAAUUACUUAUUUUAUAUAAUUUGUAUAUCGUCGUAGUUGAAUGUUUUAAAAGAAUGUUAAUAUUCAAAAUUUUAAAUAUGAAAUAAAAUCAGAUCAAGGUGCAGUUUAUAAAUAAGAAGAGAUGGGUUACAAUAAAUAUAUUUUUGGUUUUUUAAUUUAAAUAUUAGAAAUAAAUAGGAUUUGAAAGUAAUUUAGUUUAUUUAAAUUAUUUGAUUUUAGCUCUAAAAUAUGU